UCCGAUCAAAGUACCUUCAGAAAUUUUUCGAUUUGCUUCUCUACUUUACAUUUGAAUAAUUUAAAUCUUUUAAAAAAUUUUAGAUUUGUAUCUCAUAUACUUACCCAUACCAUGAUUGAUCAUCGGUAAAGGUAACAAAGUAGAGAUGACUCUUUUGUUAGCACAUCAUAUGGACUACAUACAUCAAAUGUGUACAAAGAUAAGUAUCUCAAUGGUUCUUUUUCUUUGGUCCCACAAGAGUAGCUUAGUCAUAUUUUCUCAAAAAGAUGAUAUACAAACUAGAUAUGACUCAAUAGUCAAUAAGUCCAAAGCCCAUAUUUCUCCAGUUUGUUAAUCAUUUCUUCUCCAAUAUGAUCUAGUCUGAGGUCCCAUAUAUACUUUAGAUUUAUCUUAACUUUGGAUCUCUCAGAUCCAAUGGCAUUCACUGCUUGCUCAAUUAAGUUCACAGAUGCAUCACCAUGCAAAUGAUAGAGAUUGUCUUUAAGAACUAAAAUCCAAACGAUGAUCACAAAGGACAGAUACCUAUAGCCACAGCAGCAACUCUUGUCCUAUUACCAAUUUAAGGAUUACUUCCUCAGCCCUCUAUCUUUCCAUCGAUUCUAUAAAAAUCACUAGAGCCUAUAACUCAACUAGGAGAAGAAAAAAUUAUAAGGAUAGUAUUGAGCAAUUUCAACAUACCUACUCUAGACGUGUCUUUGUUUCUUUAGGCUCUCCAAGUAUGUACUUCUGAACUCUUUUAAGGUUCCUUUGUUAGCAACACUUUGACCAAUUCAGAUAAGGUGCCAUGAUGGUCAUUUAUAUGAUAGUUUAUCAUAAACUAUCCAUAUAAACUAAUCAGAGAUCGCAGGAUCAAAUCUACAAGUAAUUCUUUAUGUAUGGUCAUGUUGAGCCUUUUAAGCUCCUUAAUAUCUUUGAUUAUUAUCAAAUAACAGUCAUAGACUGACUACCCAUCAUGCAUCACAUGCACUGUGCGACUUUGAUUACCUCACAACACUUGUAGAUGAAUCAAUAUGUUGUUGGCAGUGAACAUGUGCUCAUAUAUACAUUUGAGUUCAUCUAACAUGGACUUCAAUAUUUAGCACCUAUCUUAAUUAUCAUUGUCCAUCCACUCA
rnacentral:lncRNA from 1 species